rnacentral:rRNA from 1 species
UACGUAGGGGGCAAGCGUUGUCCGGAUUUAUUGGGCGUAAAGAGCGUGUAGGCGGCUUGGCAAGUCCGCUGUGAAAACUCGAGGCUCAACCUCGAGAUGUCGGUGGAAACUGCUUGGCUAGAGUCCGGAAGAGGAGUGUGGAAUUCCUGGUGUAGCGGUGAAAUGCGCAGAUAUCAGGAAGAACACCUAUGGCGAAGGCAGCACUCUGGGACGGUACUGACGCUGAGACGCGAAAGCGUGGGGAGCAAACAGG